GAUGAACGCUGGCGGCGUGCCUAAUACAUGCAAGUCGAGCGAAGCGAGGACGGGUGAGUACGACGUGGAAAAACGCCUAUACGACUGGAAUAAAGUGGGAAAACAGGAGCAAAACCGGAUAAUUAGAGAUGGAUGCGGGCUGCAUUAGCUAGUCGGUAAGGUAACGGCUUACCAAGGCCACGAUGCAUAGCCGACCUGAGAGGGUGAUCGGCCACACUGGGACUGAGACACGGUCCAGACUCCUACGGGAGGCAGCAGUAGGGAAUCUUCCGAAAUGGGCGAAAGCCUGACGGAGCAACGCCGCGUGAGUGAUGAAGGUCUUCGGAUCGUAAAACUCUGUUAUUAGGGAAGCGGUACCUAAUCAGAAAGCCACGGCUAACUACGUGCCAGCAGCCGCGGUAAUUC
rnacentral:rRNA from 1 species